GCGCCCGUAGCUCAGCUGGAUAGAGUGUCUGACUACGAAUCAGAAGGCCAUAGGUUCGAAUCCUGUCGGGCGCGCCA
rnacentral:tRNA from 1 species